GAUGAACGCUGGCGGCGUGCUUAACACAUGCAAGUCGAGCGAGUGAGUUCUUCGGAACGAUCUAGCGGCGGACGGGUGAGUAACACGUGGGCAACCUGCCUCAUAGAGGGGAAUAGCCUCCCGAAAGGGAGAUUAAUACCGCAUAAAAUUAUCGAGUGGCAUCACACGAUAAUCAAAGGAGUAAUCCGCUAUGAGAUGGGCCCGCGGCGCAUUAGCUAGUUGGUGAGGUAACGGCUCACCAAGGCGACGAUGCAUAGCCGACCUGAGAGGGUGAUCGGCCACAUUGGGACUGAGACACGGCCCAGACUCCUACGGGAGGCAGCAGUGGGGAAUAUUGCACAAUGGGGGAAACCCUGAUGCAGCAACGCCGCGUGAGUGAUGAAGGUCUUCGGAUUGUAAAGCUCUGUCUUUGGGGACGAUAAUGACGGUACCCAAGGAGGAAGCCACAGCUAACUACGUGCCAGCCGCCGCAGUAA
rnacentral:rRNA from 1 species